UAUUGAAAUAAACCUGAUAGGUUGUUGCUGGCUCUUUCGGGAGCAUGUGCACGCUUGUCAUCUUUAUAUUUCCACCUGUGCACCUUUUGUAGAUCUGGAUAUCGUUCUGAAUGCCCUGGUAUUCAGGUUUGAGGAUUGACUUUUGUCUUUCUUUACAUUUUCAGGUCUAUGUUUUCUUCAUAUACACCAUGUAUGUUAUAGAAUGUAUUGAGAAAAGGCCUUUGUGCCUACAAAUCUAUACAACUUUCAGCAACGGAUCUCUUGGCUCUCGCAUCGAUGAAGAACGCAGCGAAAUGCGAUAAGUAAUGUGAAUUGCAGAAUUCAGUGAAUCAUCGAAUCUUUGAACGCACCUUGCGCUCCUUGGUAUUCCGAGGAGCAUGCCUGUUUGAGUGUCAUUAAUAUAUCAACCUCCUCAGGUUUCUUACUUGUUGAGUGUUUGGAUGUGGGGGCUCUUUUUUGCUGGUCUCUUUUGAGGUCGGCUCCCCUGAAAUGCAUUAGCGGAACAAUUUGUUGAAUCGUUCAUUGGUGUGAUAACUAUCUACGCUAUUGACGUGAAGCAGAGUUUAGCUUCUAACAGUCUAUUGACUUGGACAAAUUUUCAUUAAUGUGACCUC
rnacentral:misc_RNA from 1 species